rnacentral:lncRNA from 1 species
AUUGGCGUAAGGCAAAGAGGCGCGGCUGGAAGAACCAGACUGAGAAAGUGCCACAGGGCGGGGGCCGCAUCCGCCCCUCGGCUUCUGGUUACUGACCCGACGGCUUUGAGGUCCUGGAACCAAUCCCCUCUGAUACUGAGAGACAACUAUUACACAAGAGAAAUAUUCUACCAUUCACAAAAUCUCGUUUAAGUGUUGUGAAAUACAAACACCAGGGAAUCAAGAACUUUAGAAAAUUGUGGCUGUGUUCCCAUAUGUGGUACAAAGAACCAGUGAGUCCCAUUUGUUGUGGUUCCUGCAUUCGAUGACUCCAGAUGUGCCACCACCGAGCUAGUCUUAUGACAACCUAGAAGGCAAAUUGGGAGAUAUGAACAAAAACAUUGAAAACAACAUAAAUGCCCUUCAACCAAGGAAUGGAGAAAUCACGACAUGUUAAUCCAAGAAAAUGCUAAGUAGUUGCUAAGGAUUAAUGAGCAUGGAUAAAUCUCAGCAACAUAAUACUGAAGGGAUGGCCCUAUAUUUGUCACUGAGAGCAGAAGGGUUGAGAACUUAGAUCCUGACAGGAGGCCCACCUUUAUUGGAGAAAUGGCUCUGCAACUUAGGACUAUUACAACUUGUAAAAAUUAGUGAGUUAUACGUGGGAAGCAUUUUGGCCUCACAAUUGAGAAGCAGAGAAGUGGUUCAAGGCUCAUGUAAGACUGCUGGGAUUUGAAAUUUAUCCUAUUAUUUGAAGACUGAAAUCAAAAUAUGAAGGUGGAGCAUCAUGUGUGCCUUCUGUCUUGUUCUCUACUAGGGUGUAAACCAUUUAACUAAAAAUAGUCUCCAAUUUGACACCUUCCCAACAUUUCACUAGUAUACUCCAAAUCUCCAUGCAGGGUUACAGACCUAUUUCAGCUGGCUCCAUUUACUCUGAGGCAGAUAAAGCUGAGAUUGCAACAUCAGAAGCAGUUCAACCAAUCAUUAUGUACAAACCUCAGCCCAUUUGUAUAAUGCAAUCCUUCUGGUAGUAAUGACACAAAACAUGCCUAUAGGGACGAUCACAACCCUGUCAAAGUCCCAAGUCAUCUGUGGCACCAGGGCCACAGAACUUCUUACCACUUGGAAGCAAAAUAGUUGCUUUAAUGGUAACCAAAUGCCCUCCUUCAAGACAGUAUUUCAAGAAGGAGGAGUAUACGUAUAUUAUACAAACAUAUCCAAUCCCUUUAGAAGAUAAUUAUCAAUAUCAUGCAGGGAAGCUGGAACACACACACAAAAUCGAGUACUAUCUAGAAGAUCAAGCCACAAAUCUCAAGAGAAGCAGUAAGUGUCCAGGGCCUGGGAUUUUUUAUCUUGGCCGUGAGAAUAGCACAGCCCAUGGUGCAGAAACGACAGGCUAGUUGUCCAGCAUAACAUGGUGUUUUAUUUCACCAUAGUAGACUGCUGGGAAAUCUCUGGAGGCCUUGGCAGCUGUGUCUUGUCUUUAAUAUGAAGCCUGGGGGGGAAGACAGAGAGAGAGACUCAUAAUUCACAAGAGGCCCAGCCGUAAGAAAGCCAUUCUAAAUAACUGAAUCAGGCACCGAGGAGGAGCGACUAUUCCAUUCCUAAGUCAAGAAUGCUUUUUGUCUUUCCUUCUCUCCUAAUUGGCUCAUGAAAAGAUCAUUUAUGUGUGGUAGAAUCAGUACAUCAGAGGCAGCUUCUGUUUCUCUCCAUUUCUCCUCCCCACUGCUGCUGUCCUGUAAAAAGACCCUUUGUUACAGACUGAAACAGCAGAUGCAGCUCAGAUAUUAUCUUGAAUAAUUUUGUGGGGAGCAUUUUAUCUUGAAUUGGUGUAAUGCCAUUUUCACGUGGAAAGUGGUUCUAUGUCUGAUCCAAAUGUUCUAGAAACUUGAGAGACCCAUAUGGCAAAGAAGUACUUUACACACAUAUCUCUUUAAAGUAGUGCAGGGUAUGGGAAGAACUGAUAAUGCUGAUUAAAUGAUAUGUAGACGAAAUGAAUGUAAACUGGCAUCAUGGGCUGAGUGAGUCAGGGGAGGCCUUGUGGAAGAGAUAAGAGUAAUAGAAAAUGCUAGGUCAAGUAUGUGUAGAGGCCUGGAGAGAGGAAUGGACUUAGUGGGUCCAAAAGUAAGAAGACUUGUUUGUUGUGAAUACAGAGUUAGAAGUAGGUAGAAGAAAAAGUUGGUCGGGUCCUGCAGAGAUUAAAAAUCCGGUUUAAGAUUUUAGAUUGUUUCAAUCAUCAAUUAGUUGGUGUCUGUGUUCAUUGUGGAAAUGCUUUAAAUAUAGAUAACAAAAAGGAUAAUAACUUACAAUCCUACCAGUCGUAGGAUGAUGAUGGCAGACAAUGUGGUGCACAUUCUUUCAUAUAUUUUAUUGUCCUAGUUUAAGGUUCCCUAUAGGCAGAUCCUGAGAUGAAGAUUUAAAUGCACACCACUUAUUGAGGAGGUGAUUUCAGGAAACACCGGCAGGAGAGUGGGGCAGUAUGACAGGGAAAGAAAGGAAGCAAAAAAAUAAAGGGCAUGUUCUCAAAGGAAUCAGUUGGAGAGCAGUCAUGCUGGAGACACUGGAAGAGAGUAUAGAAGAUGUCUCAAUGUAGUCCUGCCUAGGGAUCAGGAAGUCGAAGUAUUUAUCCACUAAUUCUUGUCAAUUGAGAAUUUAUUUGAGGGGCAUUAACUCUCCAAAACGGUCUCCCUGUGCCGGAAAAAUAACCCUAAGCAGAAUGUUGUAGGUAUUUGCAGCAAAUAGCCCUCAGUGUGUCCUGAGGAUUGGUGUAGUACAUAAAUAUACAAAAUUAUUUUUAUUUAUAAAAAAGCUUUCUAUGCAUCAGGCUCUGUACUGUGUGUUUUACUUGCAUUCACUCAAAAUAGUUCUCACAGAAGCCCUAUGAGGUCGGCGCUACUCUUAUCCCCUGAGGAUUAGAGGCUGGGAGAAGUAUAUAUGAGAGUCAUAUGGAGAUUAAAUACCUGAAGUCAUGAGGAGAUGAUGCACUCUCCAAGAGAGCUUUGAUGACAGCCUAUUUAUGCAGCUUCUGUCAUCUGUACACAUUCUCCUCUUUCUGUCAACAAAGAGUUUUUCUUUUGCAAUUGUAAAUGUCCUCUGUUUUCAGAGACUUUUGUUGGAAAACAAAACAAAAUCUUGAGACAUGAAGGAUCUGUAAUGGACACCUGUCGAUUGUGUCUGUUCAGCAGCUCCUCUCCCACCUGUCUUCCAGUACAACACCUUAUUUCAUUGGAGAGAAAGGUUCUACCUCUUCUCCUUAAGGUUUUAGUGGACAGCCAAACCAGUCUUCAGUCUACAGGGUGAGUAUGAGAUCCAGGCUUGACCAACCAUAGUCACCACCCACUUGGCUACAUCAAAUUGAGCCAGAAAGAGCCUUUCCCUGGGAAUUUAUAUGUAGACUUUGGGAAAAGGAAGCUUUCUUCUCUGAUGUUACUAGACAGCGAUGACAAAACCAGUGCUUGUCUGGACCAUGCUCCACUUCCUCUCCACAGCAAGAUGAGCAAGCUCAUCUGUAGUAGGAAAGAAUGUAGGAAUGCAUCCCCUGCACAGAGAAAAGCGGAGGAGAGAAUGAGAGAGAGAGAGAGAGAGAGAGAGAGAGAGAGAGAGAGAGAGAGAUCUGACUGUACUGCUAAGUCCCUGCAAUCCCCACCAAGGUCUGCAAGGUCUACUUCCCCUAGACUACAACUACCCAUUACUUGUGCCAAAUAUUCAAUAAAUCGUAACCUUAGCAGGGAGAGGGAUGAAGAGAGAUUGAUUAAUGGGUAUGUAUAUACAGUAUGAUAGAAGAAAUAAGACCUAGUAUUUCAUCAGUCAGUAGUAUGACUAUAGUUUACAAUAAUCUAUUGUAUAUUUCAAUAUAGCUAGAAGAGAAGAAUUAGAAUGUUUCUAGCAUAAAGAAAACACAAAUAUUUAAGGUGAUGGGAAUCUCAGUUACACUGAUUUUAUCUUUACAAGGCAUAUGAAUGUUUUAAAUUGUCAUAGUACCCCCAAAAUAUGU